GCUUUGGGAUAGCUCACUUGGUAGAGCAUGAGACUCUGAAUCUCAGGGUCAUGGGUUCACGCCCACCUUGGGCA